rnacentral:sRNA from 2 species
AUAUCUCUCUGUACGGGAAGGAUGAGAAGCUUCGACUAAGGUUCGAUUCGAGCGCAGCGAGAAAGCGUUGCCGUAGGCAACGACCCGAAGGGCGAAGCGCGCAGCGCUGAG